AGUGAGCUCUGCAUCUGCCUCUCUGUCUGCAUGUUGUCUGGGCUGUGAUCCAUGUGAGGAGUGCAGAUUAGUGGGGAGGAUAAACAGCAUCACUUCAAUGAGACGGUGGAGCCAGAGGCCUGUUUUUUAUCUUAUGAUGGUGUGCAAGCUUCUCUCUAGCAACCUCCAAACAGUCACUGAAUUAAUGGCUAUUUUCAAGGGAGAGAAAAGACUCUCAGGCUAUGUCAGAUUCUCAGAGUUUGGUAAUCUGGAAAGGGUUAAGAACUUGCUGCCAUAAUUCUAUCACAGACUGCUCUUGCUUCUACAGAAAAACAAAAAACAAAAAACACGGAGCAUCUUAAGAAGAAUCUCCUAUCUGAAUCUAAGACAAGAAAAUGGCAUUUUUGUCUACUUUUAUUUGCAGUGAUGGCAUUUUUGUCUACUUGUAUUUGCAAUGUUUAUUCUGUCUUCCCUCUACCCCCUCACACCAGCACCAAUUAUUCCACACCUGCUGGUGAACAAGCAGAGGCCUCUUUACACCUAUAUCCGCAUGGUCUUCAUUACUGGAUUGAGAAAAACACUGAUGAUGAAGUAGUUUUCCGCCCAUUACCUGUCUCUAAUAAUAUGCUUGUCAUCACAAUUAGUUUCACCAUCCCUGGCUUGCUUUUCUGUCAUUUCUUUCCCUUGAGUUCUGUUAAUAGCAGAAAUUGGCUGCUAAACUAUUAUUCUGGUCUGUGUAAUGGGGCUGAUGGCAGAAACAUUCUGCUUCUUUUGACAACUGGGUAUGAUUUGUAAAGGUGUGAAGAAGAAUUGCUAAUACUUCUGGGCUCCAUUACAUUAACCUGGAAGGCAUUCUACCCAAGAAAUGAAUCCAAUAUUAAAUUGCCUGUUUUAUGAGUUUUUAUUUAAUAAUUUUUCUAAUCUUUACAAUGUUUUCAUAGCUUCAGUAUUUUCAGAUCUCUAUUUCCUGAGAUUAAUAUGGCAACUUCAUUUUAUGAAUGCUAUUUUAUUAGAUUUUCUUUAUUUUUGAGGUAAGAGAAACGGAAGGGAAGAGUUAUUUGUAAGUUUCUCUUCUUUCUCCUGUGUUCCUCUCCCAGUUUCUGCCUGGUGUCUGGAUGAUUAGGCAAGGUUUCCCAGGACCAUAAACCUUUAUUUACAAUGACAAUGCUACCAAAAUACCACCAAAAAGUCACAAAGCCCCAAAUCAAAAAGCAAACAAAAAUCCCUCCACAGGUCAAGGCAUUCAGAGGUGAUCCUGAAGGCCUUUGGAGGGCAUAAGUAGGGAGGCAAAAAGCACCAGUGUGCAUUCUAGAAACUCCCCCUAGGUAGCCACAGUAUGGAUUGUGAUAGGAUUGUCUGAGUGGGCUCAAUUUGGGAGGCCACUGCAGUCAUCAGAGUGUAAAGGCCUAAAGUGGGGCAGAAGAGGGAAGGAUGAAAAGGAGAGGCAGAGUCAAGAACUAUUUGGAAGGUAAAACCAGCAGGAGUUGGUAACUAAUUAGAUGUGAAGGCAGAGAAGUAACAAUAAUAACUACUAAUUAAUGAUCAUAGGGCUUUCCUGCAUAAUCACAUUUAACCCUUGCAAUACCCUAGGUGAGGAGUAGUAUUACGUCUAAACAAAUGAGGAAACAGAGGCACUGUGAGGUUAAGAAAAUUGCCCAAGGUCAUGUAACAAAUAUGGUAGACCCUGGCAGACUCCAAAUCUGAACAGCUAGCCACUGUGUGACACGGUGAGAAGACUCAAGGAUGAUCUCUGGGUUUCUCCAGGAAAGGCUGGUGUGUGUGUGAUGGUGUCAAUAGUGAGUUGCAAAAUAUAGGAAGAAAGAAGAUUUAGAAAGAAGAUAGUAUUCAGCUCAGUAUAACCCCAUAGUCCAGAGCAAUGGUUAAAGUCAGAUAGCACAAGCAAAUUACACACUUUGCUAAAAGACGCCCCAAUAAUUAAAUGUUGUUCAAUGAAGUGGUAGAAAUCAAGAAAUGGAAAAGGCUGAGUAUGAAGCAUGAGACUGUAUUCAUGCUUAAAGUAUAUUGUUGACCUUCCUUUUUGAAGAUGACUAUAAUUAUCUGCUAGAUGAUACAAAAUAAAUUCUCAGCAAUUAUUAGUUGAGUUGCCAUCCCCAUAGAAACUAGCAAGUUCUACAAAAGGUAAUAUUUCUUUAGCUUGCUGCUGUUGGGUUUAUCUAUCCCUGUCCUUCUCUGAAUCUUGUUAAUACCAAAAAGGUUUAUAUAAGAAAAUGGUAUUAUCAAAGACUUGAAAAGUUUUUAAAGUGUUGCCUGGUUAAGGAUUCAUGAAAAUAUUGGGUAGCAACAUUAUACAGUGAAAAAUAAACUAGGCUUAGAAUAAAAACACUAAGUUUGAAUCCUGACUUGAACAAUUGUUUUAUGACACUGGGCAAGUGAUCCAUAGAUCUCUCUCAGUCUCACUGUCUUCAUUUGCAAACUUAGGCCAAUGAUAACUCACAGACGGUUGUUGCAAUUAUUAAAUAAAAUAAUGUAUGUCUCAGUAUUUAGCAGAGCAUUAGGUACACUGCAGAAGCUUAAUAUAUUCAAAUGUUUUUCCUUCCACCCUUUAUGGACAAAAGCCAUGUAUGUCUUUUAGUUUAUACGCUAAAAUGUUGUGUGUCAGUUACAAUGUUCUGUGCAUGAUGAAUAUUUAAUAAUGUGUAUGUUUGUUUUCAUUUUAAACACACCUGUGCUAUGCAGAAUGUGGCUGUGAAAUCACAGAGCCUGUACUAUUUUGAUGCAUGUUAAACAUUUAUACAGUGACAGUUAAGCUUUUGAAAAUUCUAUUAAGUUUAUAUGUUCACAAAUUCCACCCAAAUAAGUCAACAGCAGUAAAAGAAAUCUUAUCAAUGACAAGUAGAGCAGCUUAGUUUGACAAAUCAAAGAUAAGCUUUACCAUCACACUCUCCAACGGAACAGUUAGAGGAAAGAAAACAUACUCUCUGCCUUCUGGGAUAUUUAAUUGUACUGAUCUUGGCAGCUAACUUGUAUCUGUUGUAUUUUAUUUACAAAACUUUUCACUCUCAAGGGAAGAUGUUCUGUGAAGAUUAAAGGAACAACUUUGCAA